rnacentral:lncRNA from 1 species
UAUUUACUAAAAGCUCGCAUUUCCUCAAUGACAAUUACAUUAGAUACUAGUAAUUUAAUUCUUCCAAAAUUUUUAAGAACGAUGCCUUAAAAUUUUGGGUAAUACUCCUCCCUAUCGUUUUAUAGCAUGCACAGACAAUGUCUUAUAUGCUUAGUCUGUAAAAGCAAGAGAGAGCUGAAAUAGUUUUCAUUGGACCACGCUUCAUUAUCAAUAUUUUUGGAUCUACUCUUCAACAUUUUUGGCCUUCAGCAUGACUUAUGUAAAUUUAUAAUUAUUCUUUUUAUAUAAAUUAUAAGAUCAUUGCAUGAGGCGGAUGUCAUUUGAUGUUUAAACAUAUAUCCUCUACUUUGAAAGCAUGUAUUUGUGUCCUUUGGAUGUCGUCUGCUCCAUGGUCUGGUUGUUGUCUUUUAGACACAUACCCCAUUUCCAUUCCCAAUUUUAUUUGUAGACACAUCUGUCCUGGUUAUCCUCUUGUGUCUUUUAGUGAGAACUAGAUUAAAAGUAUUUUACUAUUGCCCUCAAAGUGAACAUUCACAAUUAUAAAAUAAAGAUAUGUCCAUAGAUACUCAUAAGAGGAUCAUAAGACAUGUUCUAAGAUAUAUCUUAUGACAAGUCUUAGGAAUGCUUCGUAAUACCGACCCUGGACAUUAACUGUAUCAAAAAAGGAC